AAUCAACGCUGGCGGCGUGCCUAACACAUGCAAGUCGAGCGCGAAAGUGGGCUUCGGCCCGCGAGUAGAGCGGCGAACGGGUGAGUAACGCGUGGGUGAUCUACCUUCGAGUGGGGAAUAACACCGGGAAACUGGUGCUAAUACCGCAUGACAUCCUCGGUUCGUUCCGAGGAUCAAAGCCGGGGACCGCAAGGCCUGGCGCUUGAAGAGGAGCCCGCGUCCGAUUAGCUUGUUGGCGGGGUAAUGGCCCACCAAGGCUUCGAUCGGUAGCCGGCCUGAGAGGGCGGACGGCCACACUGGGACUGAGACACGGCCCAGACUCCUACGGGAGGCAGCAGUGGGGAAUAUUGGACAAUGGGGGCAACCCUGAUCCAGCAAUGCCGCGUGUGUGAAGAAGGCCUGCGGGUUGUAAAGCACUUUCAGUGGUGAGGAAAGCUCACGCGUUAAUAGCGCGGGAGGGUGACGUUAGCCACAGAAGCAGCACCGGCUAACUCCGUG
rnacentral:rRNA from 1 species